GGAGUGGUGCCCGAGUGGUUGAAGGGGCACGCCUGGAGAGCGUGUAUACGGGUUUCCUGUAUCGAGGGUUCGAAUCCCUCCCACUCCGCCA
rnacentral:tRNA from 6 species